rnacentral:lncRNA from 1 species
AGAACAGAUCUUUAGAAAGAAAGAAAAUAAAAGAGUGGAACCCACUUCGUCCCCCAAAAAUGAAAAUAUAGUAUAAUCAAAUUUUAAUUUGCUGCGUGAUUUGAGCCGCUAGAUUGAGAGAAGGUGAGAGGGUCACGUGAGGAAGUAAAGAGAGGUUAGGUGAGCAUUGGACACGAAUGUUGCCAGCUAUCGCCGCCAUUUUCAUUGGUCCAACCCAAACCUUCCAUGCAAUAUUCGGCUUUUUGUUUUCUGAAAACAAUAUUGAAAAUGAAGUCAAAUUCAUUUGAUUUCUCUUUUUUUUUGUUCAAGUGAUUUGUUGGUGUGUAAAUGACCUUUAUGAUACUGCAUUAAAAAAUUAAAAAUGUGCAAAUUAACUAGAUUACUUUUAUAAAAAAAAAUUAACUAGAUUAUUAAAUAGUUUGUGUUAUCUUAUUCACAUAGUAAUAGCUUUGUAUUUAUACAUACAUUAGAUCCUAUUCUGAUAAGAACUACGAACAUACUAUUACACAUUGUUAUCCAGUUACAUUUAAGAGUUAUCUCAAUAGUUAUGUAUUUCUUGGGUUACAUUUAGUGAUAAUAAGUACAGUAGGCAUUGUGCAUUGUGCAUUAUGCUUAGAGUAAGACAUUUCUUAGAUUCUAUCUGUUAUUCGUUUUGAUUCGAUCCAAAAAAAUUGGAUAUUUACAUUAUCAAUUAUAAAAAUAUUAUAUAAAGAUAAAAAGAAAAUAUCUUGACACCUAUAACUCUGUUAAGUUUUGUUUUUAACUAAUUUUAAAAUUUUAUCAAGCAUAUAGUUUCACUAGUUUUUAUUUUUAAUUUUUAUAUAUAUUAUGUAAAAUAUUUUAAGAAUAAAUUAGUAUUGAUUUUUUUCUUAAUUAUUUGUUUUAAGGAGUAUAAAUAAGAUAUCCGCAAUUAUUGAUAGUAUUUGAUUUGUGUUUAUCCCUAAUUAUGCCAAUCAGGUUUGCAUGCUAGUUUGGAACGGCUAUGUCGGAUAUGAUUGAUGUCGCGCCGCGGUUGUUUGUUUCCUCGAACAGAUUUAUACGUUGAUUUUUUUCGAUCUAGUUUUUUAUCGUCUCUUGGUGCCUCGAUCGGCAUGUACCAUAUGCAGUCUUGUUUUUGUUUUAUCAGCUGUUGGAGUUUUUUUUUAACUUAUUUAUCAUGAUAGCAAUACGAAAAAUCUGUAUCACUUUCGAUGUUGUCGGUAUAAACCGAUUUUGUAGAACUUUUUGGUUUAUUAGGCUUUUUUAAACUGGAUUCAUCUGGGAUACGGUGAAACUCUUUUUUUUUUAAUUAUUGUAAAAAAUGAAUCUAGCAGUAAAACAGUCAUCAGUAUUGUUUUUAUUACUUGUAAAGGUUUAAAUUAUUUAAUAAAAUUAAACACAAUGUUCUUGACCUUUUUCCACACUAUUCAUGUCAACUAUUAAUUUACAUCAAAAAAAUUUGCAUGUUUAUAAAACUGUUAUCAAACAAUUCGAAAAUAUGUCUGCUUUUAUGAUCAAAACACGGUAAUAAGAUAGAGACAGAGCAUCUGUCAGUGACAUGGACUAUGGUACUAAAAGUUCGCGAUUUCGUUGUCUUAUUCACCGAAUCAUCAUGAUUUUUCUAUUAGCUCACCUCGUCCGUCAAUAGAGAGUUGAAAACGGUAUUAGAAACAAAAUGUACUAAAUUGCUCAAAAAAAAAAAAGAAAAAAAGUACUGUUGAACAAAAAGAACGAAACAAAAUGUACUAUAUAACAAAUAUUGAAAUAUGUGUACAUACGGAGGAGAUGAUGAGAAAACUCGAUUUUCUGAUCAACUCGAUCAGAUUCUUUCAGAGAGAGCGCGAGAGAGUUUCAUCCCUUUAUCUUACCGGUUUCUAGUUCCGGUGAAGGUUUUCCGAGGUUCGGGCUUUGGUUCGGCAUAUAGUGGUUCCCACAACACGAUAUGGCUGGUUUGUUGACUCCGACGAUUCACUUUUCAUUUUGGUGAUGUCGGCUGGUACUGGGGUUGUGGUUUUGAUUUCAGAUCAGAAGGAGUAGAAGUUUAUGCCUUGUGUUUGGUGGUUCGGUUCGUAGAUGAGAUCUCGAUUUAGAUCGAUUGAAGCUCUCAGAAGAACGAGCACAAAGGUAUGUGUUGAAGACGAUGGAUUUCCCCUACCUUCCACAUAGUUGUUGGAGGUUUCUUUCGUCGUGGUGGUCCUAGGUGAUUCCGGUGGUUUCGAGGAGAAGUUUAGUCCGGUGGAGACGUUCGGUCGAUGAAGACGAUGGCAAGUUGCAUGUGUUUCCCGGCGAGAUUCCGGUGAAACAACUCGUGUUUCUCCGGAGGUGGAGAAGACAAAGGGAGAUGACGACACAUGUUACCUUGUUGUUGAGGUUCUAACACGUGUCUUUCGACGUGUUGGGUGAUCGGUGCAGCUUGGGUGGGCUUUUGGUUUUGGGCUUUGCCCCUUCAAUUUUUUCCUUGUUUGUUAGUUUUUUCGGUUGGACUUCAGAUUUGUUAUGUGGAUUUUUGUAUGGGCUUUGCUUUCUGAACUUUGUUUUUCAAAUAAUAAUUCACAGAUGGAAAAAAAAAAUUUGAAAUAUGUGUAUAUAAAUAGGUAAACAAAAGUCCAAAAUAUACAUCAACAGAAAGACUACAAAAACUGGAGAACGCAAAAUAUUAAUCAGCUACGUGUUUGUGUGUGUGUGUCAUAUUUUUCUUCGACAAACUAUAUCUUCUAACCAAUUUAUAAUUAUUUUCUUCUACAUUUUCUUGUUGUGUAGUAUUCUUUUUUCCGUGGGAACUAGGGACCUAGUGUGAAUAUAUAUACUAUUCUUGUACUUUAUGCAACAAGUUGAUGAGUCCAGUCCUUUCUAAACCCAAAAAUGCUGAAGGUUUUUAGAAUAAUGAAACAGGCAGCCUAUGAGCUGGCAAAUUAAUUUAAGGAAAAAUGGUCAAUCGAUUAAAAACAGAGAAUACUGGCCAUUUUUUAAAGACUGUAUUGGAGCAUGGGUUUGAGUUCUUGUUCUAUUCUAACACAAAAUCACACACCAGAUCACCCCAUUUUCUGGUAACCACACACUUGGUUUCUCUUGUUCUUGUUCUGAUUAUACCAUAACCCAUAUCAAGAAUCAAAAAACCCAACAUCCAACUUAAGUAAUCUAAGGGUUCCAUUAUUCUAACACAAAACGCUAAGAGAGAGAGAGAGAGAGAGAGAACUGACCUUUAAGAGAGCUAAGGCAUGAGAGAUGGAGAAGAGAGAUCGUGAGAGGUGAAAAGAGGUGUGAGAGAUGGAGAUGAGAGAUCGUGAGAGAUGGUGAAGAGAGGUGUGAGAGAGGCGUGAGAGAUGGUGAAGGGAGAGAGAGAGAGCUGAGGCCUGAGAGAUCGUGAGAGAUGGUGAAGAGAGAGAGAGAGAGAGAGAGAGAGAGAGAGAAGAGAGGCGUGAGAGAUGGCUAAGAGAGAGAGAGAGAGAGCUGAGGCGUGAGAAAUUAUUUUAGGAUUUAGGUUACUGGUAUUGUUUUGUAAUUUUGAAGAUAGAUUGAGGGUGUUUUUGUAUUUUGAGUUUUUUUUUUCUGAUCGCAGCUAGGUUUUGGUCGCAAACGCUGAAUUUCUCGGCGAUCAAAAUUUUUAAUCGCGGGUCGCUAGCGUCUGGUCGCUGCGAUCAGUCGCUGAACGUGCGACCGGUAAACGAACAACGUUUAGACGCUCAGGUUGGUCGCUGACGCUAGCGACCUCCAAACGAACAUG